AAAAAGGCAAACCCUGGGUUUGCGUGUCCAACUUUGACCGUUCGUCUUAUAUGAAAUUUUUUUAUAAUUCGUAUUUUUAUUGUUGUUAGAUGAUAAAACAUGAUUAAUAUUUUAUGCGUGACUUAUCUUUUUAAUUUUUUUAUAAUUUUUUCAAAUAAGACGGACGGUUAAAUGUUGGGCACGAAAAUCAGGGUUUGUCUUUUU
rnacentral:pre_miRNA from 1 species